rnacentral:rRNA from 1 species
CCUACGGGAGGCAGCAGUGGGGAAUAUUGGGCAAUGGAGGCAACUCUGACCCAGCAACGCCGCGUGAAUGAUGAAGGUCUUCGGAUUGUAAAGUUCUGUGAUGGGGGAUGAACACAAUGACGGUACCCCAAUAGCAAGCCACGGCUAACUACGUGCCAGCAGCCGCGGUAAUACGUAGGUGGCAAGCGUUAUCCGGAAUGACUGGGCGUAAGGGGUGCGUAGGGGGUUUAGUAAGUUGGCGGGGUAAUUCCGGGGCUCAACCUCGGCGCUACCGCCAAAACUAUUAGACGAGAGUGCAGGAGGGGUAAGUGGAAUUCCUAGUGUAGCGGUGGAAUGCGUAGAUAUUAGGAGGAACAUCAGGGGCGAAGGCGACUUACUGGACUGUAACUGACACUGAGGCACGAAAGCGUGGGGAGCAAACAGGAUUAGAUACCCUAGUAGUC